AGCAAGAACCCCGAUCCUUCACCUACGGGUUGAUGAUUUGCUUCAGAUCACGGAAGCUUGGGUUGAUGGAGUGCUUGUCUUUAGUUUUUGUUUUGACUUUGUGAAACUUGCUACCUAUGAUGAAACUGUGUAAUAUUGAUGAAACUAUGUAUAUGUAUGGAUGAAACUUGCUACUAUUGGUAACAUGUGUUGGAUAUAUUUGCGUUCAUGACUA